GGGGCCGUGGUGUAGCCUGGCCUAGCAUUCAGGCUUCGGGAGCCUGAGAUCCGGGGUUCAAAUCCCCGCGGCCCCA
rnacentral:tRNA from 1 species